UUAUCUCCAGUGAACGGGAAAGUAAAUUGGUGGGAGUCUGUACAGAGAGUCCGGGAUUGGUGCAAGCCGGGCCAGAGCCAUCCUUUGAAGAUCACCCGGGAGGUGCCUACUGAAACCCUGGAUUAGGGGAGUAAGUUUGGCCGUUAACAUCGACGUUAAAGGUGUAUCGAGUGUUCAGGUUUUAUCUGUUCAUGAGGGUGGUACCGCGGGUUAUCAGCUCGUCCCUUUU
rnacentral:ncRNA from 1 species